rnacentral:rRNA from 1 species
CUACGGCCACACUGUCCUGAACACGCCUGAUCUUGUCUGAGAUCUCAGAAGCUAAGUAGGGUUGGGCCCAGUUAGUACCUGGACAGGAGAAAUUGACAGUCUAAUAGA